CUCUCAAACCAAAGUGGGUCUGAAACGUGCCUUAGGAAAGUUUAGUGACCAAUGUAACACUGAACUGUUAACAAUUAACUUUGCCAAAACUAAAAUUGUACAUUUUAACCGCUCCUUCAGGAAAGAUAAUUUGAGUGUAAAGGGAAACGCCAUUGAACAGACUAAGACCUUCCAAUACUUAGGCAUUACUUUCUCUUAUAAUGCCAAAUUCUCAGCACACUUGACCACAUCAGCUAUAUCAGCAGGAAGAAGUGCAAAUGCUAUCCUUAGAUUAUUCAGAAGGAAAGGAGCUGGCUUCCUCCCGAUGGCCCUAACAGUUUUUCAGGCAAAAUCUUUAGCCCAACUCCUAUAUGGCUCUCAAAUUAGCCUCUCUGUCAACCUUAAGACCCUUGAAACAGUACAAUCUAAAUUCUUAAGAUCAUUAUUCGCUACCCCUAAGUGUACACCUAAUGCAGUCUUAAGGCAAGAGGCAGGACUGCCCAGAGUGGAAUUAAAAGUCUGGGAGCAAGCAAUAUCCCUCUGGCUGAAAAUCCAUUACAAUCCUAAGGGACGGUUACCUUGCUUCCUGGCCGCAGUUCCCUAUCCUCCUUGGCUUAUGCAAAUAACUAACAAGAUCAAACAAAUUGGCCUAAACCCUGAAAAUCUUUUUAUUGGAACUCUGAAUAAGGCAAAAGCAAUUAUCACUCAGAGACCUUACGAUGUCGAAUUACAACAAGAAGGCGCCCUACUCCCGGAGACGUAUAGAUGUUUAAAAGCUUGCCCUAAUUUUGCAGCUGCCCCUUACUUAACUAACAUCACUAACGGAGCUUAUAGAUGGGCUUUCUCUAGAGCCCGCUUUGAGACAAUGCCCUCAGCAGUCCUGUACGGCAAAUUCACGUGGGUACCAAUGCAUGCGCGUCUCUGCUCCUGUAUGUCUAAUAAGGUAGAAUCUGUCACACACAUUCUUUUAUUUUGCGAAUUUUAUAGUGAAGAACGAGCUCAACUUAUUUUGCAGCUUUUAUCAAAAUUUAUACCCUACAACAUUAUUUGGAAUCCUCCCCCGAAAUUCUACGGAAAUACCUCCUGGAAGAUUCCUCAAGCGCAAUAUCAUAUGAGGUGGCCAAAUUUUGCACUUUAGUAAUUAGGAAGCGUAAAUCUCUGUUGAAUGGCACACUGCGAAGUUCCCUUGUGUAAUCUUUUUCUUUUCUGAUGUUGUUGUUGAUUUCUUGUUGUUUGAUCUUGUGUUUAGUGUUACUGGCUUUUGCCGCAAUAAAACUCGAACUUGAGUGUGAAAAUAGAAGGUUUAUCUAUUCUCUUUCACUAUCUAGGAGCCGCACUUUCCUAUGUAGAUGACUCACAACUGAUUUUUCUUAUGCAAUUGAAAGGGGAUGGUAAACCCUUCUUGCUGGACUCUGGAAACUCUUGUGAGAUCUUGGGGAAGCCUGGCGGGCACACAAAUCGCUUUUAAGACCUCUACCAUGAUUACGAGGCUCUGAGAGUCUCCUGCGAGAUCUCAUGGGGCCAUCUUGAGAUUGCAGAUGGCAGGGGUGAAUCCGGGGGUCAUUCUGACUUUCCUCGAUUUGCCUUUUUGCACAAUCGCCAAGGAUGUAACCCUCCCUUAAGCCGCGAGUUGUCUGUAAAAAUUUGUACUUGACGUCUUCACAUCUCUUAGCCAUGCUUUGGGUGCUUUCACACAUCUCAACCAUUUCCCAGCUAGCCUCGCCUACAGCUUUUUGGGCAUAUCUUCUGUUCCUUUGCCCCUGAGAUUAACGUAAGGGGGGGGGCAGGAGGAGGAAAGGAGGGGGGCUGUCCAAGAACCAGCCAGGAGCAGAGGGGUUGAGGCCUCCUGUCCUGGAACAGGAAUGUCUGGAUCUUGUUGCUGAUGGGGGGAUCUUCUGGGGGUCCUGCUCCUCCUCCCAAGAUUUGGGUAAGUCUGAACCUUGACAUCACCCCUGCCCUGGUUCUGCAGGGAUAGCCAGCAUGGAGAGUUUCAUUUUAAGGUAGGUUUCACGUAGUUUCAGGUAGGUUUAACUGCCAACUCCCAUAAUCUCCAGCUGGCAUGGCCAAGUAGUCCACAACACCUGGCUACAAUCUCAUGAGCUCAUAUUGUUUUUCCAGGUUUGUUAUCUGAAUGAUGGUGUGAUGCUAAAUUUCUGUUCCCUUUUCUCUUCCAGACACUGUGGAAUAUGGACUUCAGCUGCGAAAAGGUACUUUUAAUCAUCAUAAUAAUAAUAAUUUAUUAUUUAUACCCCACUCAUCUGGCUGGGUUUCCCCUUCCAUUUCCCCAGGCACAAAUUCGGGAGAGAGGGGAUCCGCUUCUCAAAAGACCAGGCCACUGCAGCUCUUCCAUCCAUGCCUUAUUUCCCAGAGGCAUCUGUUCCGUGAGAGCAGCUUGCUGGGCUAGAGGGGCUCUUGGCCUGAUCCUGCAGACUCUUAGGAAGCCCCCAGCCCAGGAUGGCUGGCUUUUCUGUGCCGAAUCUCACUAAGACACAGGGGUGGUGUGAAGCCAAAGGCUCCCGGCACAUGAGGGGGAAAUAUCCCUUUGAGCCAUACAGGAUCCCCACCCCUUUUAUGUAAGAGUAAGGUGUAAGAGUGGGAAAUGUAUGAACACAUAAUAGCUCAAAAGUGGCUGCAACUACCUUUGGGCAUGAGAAGGUGAAUGGGUUCUGGUGUCAGUGGAGGGAGCUGGGGGCUGCCUGAGUGUGAACUCCAGGGGUCCGACUUCCCUGCAAGAUGGGGGUCUUCCCUCAGCUUUUGUAUUGAAAGGGAGACAUGAGAUGAUGGUGGACUAGAGAAACCUGAGUAAACUUAAAAGAGCAGGACAGUAUUUCACCACAGAACGUGGAAAAAGGCUCAGUGGGAAGACAGAAGUCCAGUCCGGCCUGAUCCUGGACACCACAAAAAGGGAAUCGUAAGAGCUGGAAAUGGUGCAGCAGAUGGCAGCAUAAAGGGAACUCUUACUUGUCUAAAAGAAUCCCAGAAUAUAAUUUUAAAUAUAACAGCAGUGAGUAAAAUGCAUAAAGCCUUAUAAAUACAACACUGAACUAGAAAAACCCAUUAUGUUUAACAAAAAAAAAUUUGACUGAUAGCACUGUCAACAUCCAAUGUCACAUUUAAUUUCCAAAGGCCUCUGUACAAAUGUGUGUCUUUAAAAAGAAAUCGCUUGACUCACUUUCCUUAACAUGGCAGGGGGGGGGGGGGAGGACUGCAGAGCAGAUCUUCUUUCUAAUGUCCAUUAGCCUGACCAAUUUUUAAUUUUUUUUAAAAAAAUCAAUUAUAAUAAUAGCAUCGUUAUAACAAUACCAAUUUAUAAUACAAUUCUAAUGUAAAUCACUCAAAUAUCAAAUUAUAUAACUUAUUUAAGGUGCUAGAAUUGAUAAUUUUCUUUGUUUCUGUGUUCUAAAAUCUUAUCGAUUUCAAUGACAUUCCAGUCAUCAUCAUAAUCCCUUAUACAACAGCUGCAAUAUUUAUAACUUCUAUUCAUGUUGACACAUUAAAUGAGCACUUUUAAAAUGAAUUUCUCAUGAAGCUUCCACUCCAUAAAUGUGAGUCAUACAGCCAAUCAGGUCUGUGGAGCCAGGAUGGGGUCUUUGCAUUGAAGGUGGGUUGCAUUGAAGGUGGCAAUUUAAAGGGUGGGAAUGGCACUUCCUAGAUUUUACUGGGUUUGGCUUUAAUAAAGGCCUCUUAUCUUGGGAUUGCAACAAUAAAUGCAUUAAAACAAGUCAUAGCGAAAGGAAGCAACUAUGUAAUAGAUGUCAAUUUAAAGGGCAGAACUAUCAAUUUUCUGCAAUGCUCUAACCAAACACAAGAGAUAAUCAUGUUUGUUCUUGCUUGACCGCUCCUGUCAAGAAUCCCGAGCCGGACAUUUUAGACAGGGAGUGUCAAUCAGAGCACAGAAAUACUUUUUUGGGUACUGUUGUUCUUUUUAUAAUCUGUCUGGAAGGAUGGGCUAUAACAUUACAUUUAAUAUGUAACUGAAACGUGAAUGGUGGUUUCAAGGAGGGUGAGAGCACCUGCUGCCAGUUUUACCUGUCCUGUCAAGCAUGGUCUGCCAUGUGAUGUGAGGUAAAAGAUUGAUGUGAAUUAGGGAGUCCCUGCUUGGACUCCCUUCUGCCAUGAACUGUGGGGGGUGGGGCUGGCCUUAGACAAGCCACUGUCUCUCAGCCUUAGUCCUCCCAUCUGAAAAAUGGGCAUGCUCAGAUUGACUUAACUUACAGGGUUGUUGCAAGGGUUCUAUGUAGAUAAUGUGUAUUAAGUUCUUCAAAUCCUUGAAAUAGUAGUAGUAGUAGUAGUAACAACAACAACAACAACAAAUUUAUUUAUACCCACAACAACAACAAAUUUAUUUAUACCCUGCCAUCCCUGGCCAAGACUGGGCUCAGGGCGGCUAACACCAAAUAGAAUACAUUAAAAACAGAAAAUGAAAUGAUUGAUUAAAAUACAGUUCAAAAUCACAUAUGAAAUCAGAAUAAAAUUAAGUGGAAACCCACGAAUCACAAACCGUAGGGGUAAGGAAAGAACUGCAAAUGUUUCAAGAAUCAUUAUUAAGAACUUGAUGAACAUCCCUGUCUCAAAUGCAGAGCCAUGGAGUCUCUGUUCAUUUCAGAGCGGGUGCUAUUUCUGUCAUGUGCCUAAAAAAGCUUCCCAGUUGACGUUGUUUCUCUUCUCUUUCUGCCCCCACAGAAAACGUAACUUUGGAUCCAGACACAGCAAAUCCCUGGCUCAUCCUGUCUGAGGAUCGAAAAAGUGUGAGACGGGGAGAAGUGCAUCAAGACCUGCCAAACAGCCCUGAGAGAUUUGAAGCACAUCUUUAUGUGCUGGGAUGUGAGGCGUUCAAGGAAGGCAGACCUUUCUGGGAAGUGGCUGUGGGGAGUGAGGAGGAAUGGGCCGUGGGGGUGGCCAGUGAGUCUGUGAAGAGGAAAGGCGAGUUCAUCGCUGGUCCUACAGAAGGGAUCUGGCGCAUAGGGAAGUGGAGUGAUCAAUAUAGGGUCUCCACCCGCAAUGGGCCCCCUGUUUCGAUUCUGGGUGGGGAGCCCAAGAGGAUCCGAGUGGCCCUGAACUGUGAAGGGGGACGGGUGUCCUUUUACGAUGCUGAUACAGCAGUCCUCCUCCACUCAUUCUCAGAAGCCUCCUUCUCAGGAGAGACCCUCCAGCCCUUCUUUUACAUAAGCAGGAAAGCGAACUUGAGACUCUCUUGACAGAGAGUCUACAGAGGAGAAAGGUCAAGAUCUCUGGCUUCAGACAAGUGGGGGGCAUUUUGGGUGGUGUUCCUGACUUACACUAUAUUGCCUUUGCAUGCUGACGCCAGAAGUGUAACCCUCACGUAGGUUUUGGGGCUCGGUGUAACAAAAUCCCAACAGUGAAGAGCCUCUGUGAGACGUUUUGAGGAGAGUACAGUGACAAUCUAGAGGGUUUCAGGGUUUGUGUGUUAAAUUCCCAUGUAUACAAUUAUUUUCUCCAAGGUGCUUUGUAGCAAAGAGUCAGAUACUUACCUGUAUUUUUAGAAAUCCCCUCUUCUUACCCUUUUGUAUAACUGGCCUGUAAGAAUUUGGGGAUAUGUUUCCUGUGCUAACAUGUUUGAUUCUACUAAAGAUUGUACUUCUUGUUGCUCCUGUGUUCUUUCAAACUGAAUAGUAUAAUAUCCAUUCCUCAUGACACUUCCUCCAGGGGUUUUAGGAGGGUGAUAUCCUGUUUUAUCCUCAGAGAAGCCCUGUGAGGUAGAAGAGGCUAAGCAGAGAGACUUAGAAAAGAGAGACACAUUAAUGUUUAUGGUCAAGGCACUCCUACCUCUGGUAUGGUAAAAUGAAAGUGCACAGAGGUUUUACAAACCAUGUGAUAAGGAGUGCCCUAUAUGAGGUCUGGGACAGAAAUAAGAAUCUGCUAGAAAGGAAAACACCGUGGUGGGUCUCACCAGUCGAAAUGUUAACAGUAAAAUUUGAAUAUGGAAGGGAGAUGGGCUACAUAUAAGGAGAUUUCGAUGAAAUCUAAGAAAGGAUGGAAACUAAAGCCCUGUAAUUGUAUUGAGGAGAAAUUGACAGGAUGGCUGCAAUACCAUCAAGUAAAUGAUGUUUUAAGGAUGACAAAAAAAUAGGAUUUGAAGAUAAAAAAUCAAAAUUUCAGAUUGACAUUUUAGAAAGCAGGACCAAAUUACUCUCGAAAAUGUAUAAUUUCUUAUUAGAAUGGAAUACAAAAGAUGAAUUGAUAAAAGAGGCAAUGGCAAAAUGGGCAAUAGAUUUUGGACAUAAUGUAGAAUAUGAUGCAUGGGUGAAACUUUGGAAUGAGAAUUUAAAAUUUACUGCAUGCUCUACUUUAAAAGAGAAUGUAAUGAAAAUGGUCUAUCGCUGGUAUCUAACACCUGUCAAACUAGCAAAAAUGUAUAGGAUGAGUAGUAAAAUCUGUUGGAAAUGUAAAGAAAAGGAUGGUGAUUUUUACCACAUGGUGGACGUGAUAAAAUGAAAGUGUUUUGGGAAUUGAUCUAUAAUGAAUUAAAAAAGAUGUUUAAAUAUACUUUCCCAAAAAAGCUUGAAGAAUUAUUGCUAGGAUUGAUGUUGUUGUUUAGUCGUGUCCGACUUUUCGUGACUGCGUGGACCAGAGCACGCCAGGCACUCCUGUCUUCCACUGCCUCCCGCAGUUUGGUCAGACUCAUGCUGGUAGCUUCGAGAACACUGUCCAACCAUCUCGUCCUCUGUCGUCCCC
rnacentral:lncRNA from 1 species